rnacentral:lncRNA from 1 species
CGCCUUCAGCACUUCUGUAACCAUGUUUCAGGUGUCACUGUUUUUUCUUUUCCUUCCUUCCCUCCCUCCCUCCCUCUCUUCCUCCUGCCUUUCCUUCUUUCCUUCCUUCCUUCCUUCCUUCCUUCCUUCCUUCCUUCCUUCCUUCCUUCCUCCCUCCCUCCCUCCCUCUCUUCUUUCCUUCCUUCAUUUUUCCCUCCCUCCCUUGAUUCCUCCCUCCCUUCCUCCCCCUCUUCUUUCCUUCCUCCUUCCCUCCCUUCCUUCCUUCCUCCUUCCCUCCCUUCCUUCCUUCCUCUCUUCCUCCCUCCCUCCCUCUCUUCCUCCCUCCCUCCCUUCCUUCCUCCCUUCCUUCUUUCCUUACUCCCUCCCUUCCUCCCCCCCUCUCUUCUUUCCUUCCUUCCUUUUUCCCUCCCUCCCUUCUUUCCUUCCUUCCUUCCUUCCUUGAGACAGAGUCCCACUCUGUUGCCCAGGCUGGAUGUUCCAUUCCGUCUUAUUCUUUCUUUCCAAACUCCUGGGCUCAAAGGAAUCCCUCGAUCUUCUGUGCUUCCGUUUCCCUGUUCUUGGGGUCGGGUCUCCUCCUAUAUUUUCCUUUCAAGGCUCCACCCUCCACUUCCUUCCUUCCAUCCUCCUUUCCUUCCUUCCUUCCUUCCCCCCUCCUUCCCCUUCCUUCCUUCCUCCUUCCUUCCUUCCAUUCCUUCCCCUUCCCCCCCUUCCACUCCUUCCAUUCCUUCCUCCUUCCAUCCUUCCAUUCCCUUCCUUCCCCUCCUUCCAUUCCUCCUUCCUUCCCCUUCACCUUCCAUUCCUUCCUUCCUUCCAUCCAUUCCCUUCCUUCCUUCCAUUCCAUUCCCCUUCCAUUCCUUUCCAUUCCAUUCCCCCUCCUUCCCUUCCCUCCUUCCUUCCUUCCUUCCAUUCCUUCCUUCCUUCCUUCCUUCCCUCUUCCAUUCCCUCCAUUCCUUCCUUCCUUCCUUCCCUUUCCAUUUCAGUCCUUCCAUUGACUCAUUCAUGAUCCAUUCCAUUCCUCCGCCUCCGGUUCAAAUUGAUUCCCCCUGCCCUCGGCCUCUGGGCUGGGACUAUGAGCGACGCCAUCCGCCCGGCUAG